rnacentral:ncRNA from 1 species
UACCUGGUUGAUCCUGCCAGUAGUCAUAUGCUUGUCUCAAAGAUUAAGCCAUGCAAGUCUAAGUACGAGCUCUCGUACAGUGAAACUGCGAAUGGCUCAUUAAAUCAGUUAUGGUUCAUUUGAUCGUACAGUUUACUUGGAUAACUGUGGUAAUUCUAGAGCUAAUACAUGCGAGAAGCGCCGACCUCGCGGGAGGCGUGCAUUUAUCAGACCAAAAACCGGCCGCGUCUUCGGGCGCGAUCGCCUUGGUGACUCUGGAUAACUUUGCGGAUCGCACGGUCUAGCACCGGCGACGGAUCAUUCAAGUGUCUGCCCUAUCAACUUUCGUCGGGACGGUAUUUGCCUACCGAGGUUCUUACGGGUGACGGGGAAUCAGGGUUCGAUUCCGGGAGAGGAGCCUGAGAAACGGCUACCACAUCCAAGGAAGGCAGCAGGCGCGCAAAUUACCCAUUCCCGACGCGGGGAGGUAGUGACGAAAAAAUAACAAUGCAGGACUCGUUCGAGGCCCUGUAAUUGGAAUGAGUACACUUUAAAAGCUUUAACGAGUAUCCAUUGGAGGGCAAGUCUGGUGCCAGCAGCCGCGGUAAUUCCAGCUCCAAAAGUAUAUAUUUAAGUUGUUGCGGUUAAAAAGCUCGUAGUUGGAUUUUGGGCGCAGGCGGCCGGUCCGUCGCAAGGCGUGUACUGGACGUCCUGGCCUUCCCUCCGGUUCUCCGCCGGUGCUCUUGACUGAGUGUCGGCGGCGGCCGGAACGUUUACUUUGAAAAAAUUAGAGUGUUCAAAGCAGGCUCUCGAGCCUGGAUAAUGGUGCAUGGAAUAAUGGAAUAGGACCUCGGUUCUAUUUUGUUGGUUUUCGGAGCGCGAGGUAAUGAUUAAGAGGGACAGACGGGGGCAUUCGUACUGUGCCGUUAGAGGUGAAAUUCUUGGAUCGGCGCAAGACGAACGACUGCGAAAGCAUUUGCCAAGAAUGUUUUCUUUAAUCAAG